AAAGACCCAGUUAAUGCUCUGUUCAUUGCAAUGGGAGCUCGCUUAUUAAAGAGCAGACACCAGCUGGGAGAGCUGUGCUAGAGCUGCUUUGGUUGGCUUUUGUGCCUUUAGAGAUCACUUCCACCCUGAAUCAUUCUAUGACACUAUUUCAGACAGCAGUGAUCUGCACCUCAGCCAAGGCUCCUCGCCAAUGGGUGGCCUCUACACGAAACAGAGGUGGUGACCCUGUAUAACAUAAACACAGGCAGAGCUGGUGUCUUCCCACCCUCAAGUUUAAUCAGAUGCUGAAGACAUGUGGAAGAGGUGUCUCUGGGAGCCUGUUCCCCAAGCAGCAGAAUGCUGUUUGCCUUUGCAGUAGAAUUUUAAAGAAAUCCAAUUAAAGGCCUUCCACUUUUAGCUGGAGAAGACAAAUUGGUCUACCUCUGCAGUCAUGAGUUCCCUGGCACUGAGAGGCAACACAGCUGAAGUUGUAUGUAAGGGCACAGCAAAAGGGUCCCACAAAGGUCUUUUCCUUAUGAAACACACCAAUGAGUUCAGCUGCCUCCUCUUCAUCCUGGACGUGAUAUGGUGCCUGAAAGCCACUCUGACGUGAGAAGAAGGCUGGGAACUCCCUUGACUGUCCAAAGGCAGCCACGCAGACUCCCUGAGUCUCCUGCAACAGAGCCAGGGAGAGAAGCAGAACACUGCCAGCAAGAUCCCUGCUGCAUUCAGAUCAGAAAAAUGUUUUCUAUCCAGGAACUGUUUCAGAAUAUACUACUCACCAUGCAGAAAUCUUCUCACCUGGGUGGUCCCACGCACCACAGUGGACACAUGUCUUUCCAGGGUGUAAGUUAUCCUCCUAAUCAUCUUGUGCAUAAGGAAGGUCCUGAAAUAAUAAAAGUCAGGUAAAAAAUAAAAGAGUAAUUUAGCAGUGA